GUACUGUGUCGGUACUUUAUUGGCUCCCACCCCCCAAAAGUGACUGUCUGCAAGUGCCCAAUAACUUCAUCAGCUAGACUGCGCCGCUAAACCACAAAUGCACAAUUUUCAUAGGGAGUCCUGGGUGUUGUCGGGUUUGUUUGAGCACUUGUGUUCAUUUCAGUUGCGUAAUUUAGAGCCUGAGAACUGGGAGAGUGAGGUGAACAGAACAAAGCUGUGUAUUAAGAGCUUUAUUUUGGGAAUAUGGGGAGAAUUUAUUUUACCCACCUUCCUAACCUCAACCUACCCAACCGUAGCCACGCCAGACCAUGAGAAGAAUCCUGGGAACUGUCGUUUGUUAAAGACCCUCUUCUCGAGCGCUAAUGUGUAAGGCUGAACAACUGAGAGAAGCCACCCCAGUCUUUUCCUUCCCCUCGAACACGGCCGUCUAGCCAGGGAGCCGAGAAGACAAAUCUCCUGCGCUGCAGAGCUGCUGGCCGCUCCGCCAUCCUUGAACCUCUCUCGCACCCGCCCCUCCAUCGCUCUCGUCCACUAACCUGUACCGGA